rnacentral:rRNA from 1 species
AGAGCGAACGCUGGCGGCAGGCCUAACACAUGCAAGUCGAGCGCCGUAGCAAUACGGAGCGGCAGACGGGAGAGUAACACGUGGGAACGUACCUUUCAGUUCGGAACAACCCAGGGAAACUUGGGCUAAUACCGGAUACGCCCUUACGGGGAAAGAUUUAUCGCUGAAAGAUCGGCCCGCGUCUGAUUAGCUAGUUGGUGGGGUAACGGCCCACCAAGGCUACGAUCAGUAGCUGGUCUGAGAGGAUGAUCAGCCUCACUGGGACUGAGACACGGCCCAGACUCCUACGGGAGGCAGCAGUGGGGAAUAUUGGACAAUGGGCGCAAGCCUGAUCCAGCCAUGCCGCGUGGAUGAUGAAGGCCCUAGGGUUGUAAAGUCCUUCGGCGGGAAGAUAAUGACGGUACCGCAGAAGAGCCCGGCUAACUUCGCGCCAGCAGCCGC